rnacentral:rRNA from 1 species
UACAGAGGGUGCGAGCGUUGUUCGGAAUUACUGGGCGUAAAGCGCGCGCAGGCGGCUUUUUAAGUCCGACGGUGAAAUGCCGGGGCUCAACCCCGUGCCCGCCGCGGAUACUGGGAAGCUGGAGACGAGUAGAGGCAAGCGGAAUUCCGGGUGUAGCGGUGGAAUGCGUAGAGAUGUGGAGGAAUACCGAUGGCGAAGGCAGCCCCCUGGGAUAACACUGACGCUCAGGCACGAAAGCGUGGGGAGCAAACAGG